CACGUAGGCGGCUUGGCAAGUCGGAUGUGAAAUCCCUCGGCUCAACCAAGGAAGUGCAUCCGAAACUGCUGAGCUUGAGUACUUAAGAGGAUCGCGGAAUUCCCGGUGUAGAGGUGAAAUUCGUAGAUAUCGGGAGGAACACCAGUGGCGAAGGCGACUUACUGGACUGUAACUGACACUGAAGUACGAAAGCGUGGGGAGCAAACA
rnacentral:rRNA from 1 species